ACAGCAGCGUCGUCUCCCCCGCCAGUUCCGCCAUUGCGCCGCCCGCCGCGCGUUGUAUAUUGGCGUCUGUUUGUGGAUUGUUAGGAGGAAGAUAUUGAUAUGGGUGAGUUGAUUUGUUGAAGAAUGAACUAGUUUUUUGUUGCUAUACUUGGAAUAUUCAACUGUGAUACAUUCUUUGCAUGCCAAACUGCUUCGGAUGCCCUCCUGAUGUGGGGGCAUCGUUUUAUGUAUUCGACCAAAAAUGUCCAAAACCUAUCGUGGUUCCUUCGGAAGUAUAUAUUCCAAACACCGGUGGAAGAUGCGCAACCCGGCCUGCGGGCGGUGGAACAGGCUCAGGAUUUGGAGAAGCAAUGAUGACGACCGACUGGUGGGUGAUGUGGAUGGCCUGAUGUUGAUUACGAGUGGGCCGCAGGGACCAAGGUAGAUCCCAGGUGGGCAGGAUGGGCCAGACCGACGACCGAUUGGUGGAUGAUGUGGAUGGCCUGAUGUUGAUAACGGGUGGUUCGCAGGGACCCAGGUAGAUCCCAGGUGGGCAGGAUGGGCCAGACCGACGACCGACUGGUGGAUGAUGUGGAUGGCCUGUCACUGCAAUACACGUUUAUUUCUGAACCGAAUUUAUGCCUGGCCUCGGAAAUGCGUUGGUACGGUGGUUGGUAAGAGCGGUGAGCAUUGCCUGAGUAACAUCGUUGGUUGGGUUGCUAAAUCAAAUGAGUAUCGAUAUUGGUAACGUGAGUAAUGAAGUUGGUAGGGUGAGUUCUAACGUGAGUAAUGACGUUCGUAGGGUGGAUAGUGCAUGAGUACGGUCGUUACUGUGGUGAGUAUUGCAUUAGUAACUCAAGUAUAAAAACUCACCCUGUUACCAACAUUACCUUAGUAGGGCCUUAGUAUUACCUUAGUUUUGCACUGAGUACAGUGAGUAUUACGUUAGUGAGUAUUGACAACUCAGUUUACCUGAGUACUUUUUUCUUUCAGUGUGGUGCUCACUUAUUGGCUGAUCUAACUCACAUCACCAGGGUGACUUCGUUAUGCGUGAGUUCUGAGUGCUUAGUUUCGUGAAUUCGAACUGAGUCGGAAAUGAGUUUUGCUUGGGCAAAUCUAGUUUCCUGCGCAAUGCAUGAGUUCUUGCGAAUUCAUGUGCAGUUGUGCGUGAGGUACCCCCGGCUUGAAGAUGCGCGCAUGCGCGGCAGGGUGAGUUUCCUGCGUGAUGCGUGAGUUCGCGUGAUGAGUAUUAUAGCCGUUGCGUUCGAAAACCGCGGCGCGCGCUUCAGUCCGUUGUGGCGCGGUGACUCGCGUAGUUCACGUUGAAUUGUUGAGGGCUGAGGCUAUUGUGAAAUUGUGCAGGAAAGUGCAGGAGCGGGGAAGGCGUGCAGCGAAGGAUGGGUAAGUUAUCUGUGAAUAACUCGGUGAUUGUCGAUGAAGCUUUUAUCAAUCGCAUGCGCCGCGGAGAACAGGGAGGUGAACUGAUGGACCAGCAGACAUUCCCCGCCGGCGUCAGGAGGUCGGUGCAAACCAAGGUGCAAACCGUGAACGGCGGAGAAGAUCGAUCGAGAACCUGAGGGAUACCUACCCGGCAUAGUUCGAGAAAGAAGAGUUCUGGCGCGAGUUCGACCGGGUGGUGGUUGCUCAGCCGGCUCGGAGCCGGCACUGACCACUACGAGGCCUCGAUGCAGCGGCUUAAAUCAUGGCUAAGCCGAGUUCAGGCGGCAUGCUUCAGCACAAAAGGGAACGGCCCAUUGAGCCUCCUCUGCAUCUUGGCGGAGAAGGCGUCAGUGGUGGCGUACACGGGUGACGAAAAUUUGGAUCACCCCCAUCAUAACAAGUCCGAAGGAAACGAACGGUGCCGCCUCAUCGUGGAGCGAACGGAAGUCUUGUGGGGAUCCAUGGUUUGGAAGGGAGUCUUUUGCUGUGGGCGACGGCGCACUUUGUGCUCAAUCAACAAACGGCGCACAAAGUGCGAAACACGCUGUGGUUUGUGUGUAUCCAUGUGCUCCACACACCAUUCAAUGCUGAGCGCCAGCCACCUGUAGCCGCGAAGACUGAGGUCGAGAAGCUGGCAAAAGAGUGAAGCUGAGCUGACGUGGAGUCGAUCCCUCCCCCGACGCAGUUUGGCGUGUGUCAGAAUUGAAAUACAGCGCAAUGCGACCGUUUCUACAAA
rnacentral:lncRNA from 1 species